rnacentral:rRNA from 1 species
GACGAACGCUGGCGGCGUGCCUAACACAUGCAAGUCGAGCGAGAAUUCAUUGACGGAUUCCUUCGGGAUGAAGAUAAUGAAGGAAAGCGGCGGACGGGUGAGUAACGCGUGAGAAACCUGCCUCUCAGUGGGGGACAACAGUUGGAAACGACUGCUAAUACCGCAUAACACUUUAGUACCGCAUGGUACAGAAGUCAAAGCUUAAUGUGCUGAGAGAUGGUCUCGCGUCUGAUUAGCUUGUUGGCGGGGCAAACGGCCCACCAAGGCUACGAUCAGUAGGGGUUCUGAGAGGAAAGCCCCCCACAUUGGAACUGAGACACGGCCCAGACUCCUACGGGAGGCAGCAGUGGGGAAUCUUGCACAAUGGGGGAAACCCUGAUGCAGCGACGCCGCGUGAAGGAAGAAGUAUCUCGGUAUGUAAACUUCUAUCAGCAGGGAAGAUGAUGACGGUACCUGACUAAGAAGCCCCGGCUAACUACGUGCCAGCAG